rnacentral:rRNA from 1 species
UACGUAGGUGGCAAGCGUUGUCCGGAAUUAUUGGGCGUAAAGCGCGCGCAGGCGGUCUUUUAAGUCUGAUGUGAAAGCCCCCGGCUCAACCGGGGAGGGUCAUUGGAAACUGGGAGACUUGAGUGCAGAAGAGAAGAGUGGAAUUCCACGUGUAGCGGUGAAAUGCGUAGAGAUGUGGAGGAACACCGGUGGCGAAGGCGACUCUUUGGUCUGUAACUGACGCUGAGGCGCGAAAGCGUGGGGAGCAAACAGG